UUGACUAAACAAUGUUAUGUUAGUCUUGAUCAAAGUGUGAUCUCUGUAGUCCCUAACUUCUAAGGUUAGCGGAUUCUAAGAUGACAUUUUGCUCCAGAUUCACAUAACGUUUAUUCAU
rnacentral:pre_miRNA from 1 species